UAGCAAAUCGGAAAGUUCCGAGUUUCCUAGUUCCGACUGGCACUUAAAUGCGACAGAUGGCCAAUCAUGACACCGAGCAACAGCGCCUUAUUAAAUGACGAGCCAACUCAGAGGAAGUUGCAAUUUAGCUCGCCCGGUUCACCCUAUGCGAGGAGUUUAGUCUGGGUGAAACUUGAUUGCAUUCGUUUUGAAAACGGCUGGGGUGAGAGAGUGCGUUUGUGCAGUACGUUUUUUUGAAGAAUUGGACCUUAUUUCAAAUUCUUCAUAUCAAAUAAAUGUACAAGCCGAAAUAAUAAUUGUCUCCAACAAUGCGAUUUUGUUUUUCAAAUUCUUUGAAGUGCAUCACAAACCCGGUUAUUCCAGUCAUUUAAUUACUCCACGCCUCCACCAUAUAAAUGAAUAGGAACGAGGAACUUGAAGGAGGUGAUUAGACAGACAGACAGAYAGGCUAAGAGAAAGACAUCAUGGACCUUGGUAUGCUGCUCCUGCUGGUACUCAGCAGUGCCGUCUGCCACAUCACGGAUUCGACGUAUUAUGGUGGGACUAUGCGCUGUACAGUACCGGGAUACAUGCCCCCAGACUCGAAAUGGACAGGGGAGGUACAAUUCCACUAUCGUGAGAAUGGCCGGGACAGGUGUGAACAGCAGUUAUCCUGGGAGUGCACCAGCGGCUACUGUAAUGGCAGUGCCAACCGACAAGGACCUGUCGUGCAAACCACCGACAAGGACCAGUCCGGCCAAAACCUCUGGUGCCAGUCAGAGGGACACUUCACUAGAAACUUCACUAGAGACCAAAAACCCAAUCCUACACCCUGAGUGACUCAGGUUGCUGUUGGGGCUCCAAUGUCAAUGGAAAGACCAACUGGACGAUACACACCGAGGUGGAUUUGGGUUACGGGUCAGCCCGGGGCCUCCAACCCAAAACACACCUCCUGUCACGGCAACUGUCCCAACCCUGCGAGUUCCUCAGAACUGCUUUUCCACUCUUCCUCUCUUGGCCCAUGACCCGGAUGGAGAUGACGUGAGGUCCACUUCCUGUGAACGUCACACACCCCAACAUUACACUUGACAGGGUCCAGUGCACUCUGCAUGCCACGCGGCCUGUUGGCUGUAGGUUGCAUGUAUUUGAGAUGCUGCUGCAGGACCACCCCACUGUAGACGUCAACAUGACGGGAUAUAAUCUAAUUAUACCAGAAAGCCCUGAACGAGUCCUAUGUUAAUAACCCGACUCCAACCCCGUUCAGUCGUGUGCCCUUGCAGUUUGCCGUGGGAGUAAGUAGCAUGUCUCACAGUUGAAUGCUUCCUUUUGGCAGAGUGAACCAACCAAUCUAUUUAAUAAUGUGAUUUGUAUAGCG